UUUUGUUUAUCCUUUCAUCUGUCAAUGUAUAUUUGGGUUGUUUCUCAUUAUAGAUAAUUUUGGAAAUUACAGAAACACGAAAAGAAAAAGAGAAAAAGAGAGCUGUGUCAUUAUCUCAUUGCUGGAGGCAGCUGCUGUUAACAUCUUACAGCAAACACUGAGCUUCAUGGGCGACUCUUCACAAUUAAGCAACUCUGCCAACAUCUUUAUUUUGGACUUCCAAGUUCCAGAACUUUGAGUUGUGGAGAUCACUAUUGCUUCUGAGAGCAGAUGGAGCUGAGCAGCGGAUGAAAAAUCCUACCAGGUAUUGGGCUCUUACUGAAACAGGUUCACUGUACACACAUGCUUCGCAUUGAAUUCUCCCUAACACAUCACGAAAUAAGCACUAUUAGCUUCACGUGACAGAGGAGCACUUUAAAGCCGGGAGAGGUGAAACUGUCUGAGCUCACAAACCUGACAAGUGACAGAAGCGGAAUUCAAAGCCUGCUCUGACUGAUUUCAGAUUCCAGGCUGCAAAUGGCUACAUUACCCUGGACCUCAGAGCUGAAAGGCAGGUCUUGCUUCAUGGGCAAUGCACUGGUUCCUGCACUUAGAACAUCUUGGUGUUUGGUUUAAGGCUCUUGAUCACAGUCUUGAAAU
rnacentral:lncRNA from 13 species